UGCUGUGAUGGUGUAAUUUGCGUCCUACUCCAUGUACAGCGACAGUUGCCUGCUGUCUCAUGCUUGCGUGGCAGGUUGACGAAUUCAAAGUCUGAGCA